ensembl:lncRNA
UGGCAAUGCGGCAUCGACACGCGCACGCGGUUUUAGAUAGCGCGCGUGCACGAGACUUUUGUAUAUGGACACGCGCCCUGGUUUGUUUUGGUUUUCCCCUUGUUUCAGCAUUGGUUCAUGUUCGAGGAUGUGUCUUGAUUUACUCCAGGUGUCUAUGAUUUAGUAUUGAUUGUGUUAGUCAUUUAAACCCCUCGUGUUGCUGUGCACAUCGUGCAGUAUUAACGGUAGCUGAGUGUUUGCCUGGUUACCCAUGCCAUGGGCACUGACACACCCCCAUUCCAUGACAGAUGCUGGCUUUUGGACCUGACGCUGAUAACAGCUUGGAUGGUCCUUUUGGCCCGGAGAACACAACGGCUGUUUUGUCCAAAAACUAUUUUAAAAUGUUGACUUGUCGGACCACAAAACACAAUUCCACUGUGCUACUGUCCAUCUCAGAUGAGACUGAGCUCAGAGAAGUUGGUGGCGCUUCUGGACAGUGUUGUUGUGUGGCUUCUGCUUUGCAUCGUAAAGCCUCGCAUCUGUGGCUGCAGCGACAAAUGGAGUUGAUAGACAAAGCCAAUGGACAAUGGAGUAUUCCCGAGCCUGAGCCAAUAUCCAUUACAGACUCGGUUUUUAACCAUUUUUUAAGACAGUGACAUCUGAGGGAUCUGAGAUCACGCACAUUCAGAAGUGGCUUUCAGCCUUGCCCUUUAUGCACCAAGAUUUGACUGGAUUCCUUGAAUCUUUUAAUUAUAAAGUGCAUUGUAGAAGAUGAAAUGCCCAAAAUCCUACCGAUUUGUCUUUGGAAUGUUGUUCUCAAAGUGUUGGAUUAUUCGCU